AUACUGGAGUAGGUAGCCAUUCCCUUCUCUAGGGAAACUUCCCAACCAGGGAUCAAACCCAAGUCUCUCACAUGGCAGGCAGAUUCUUUACCAUCUAAGCCACCAGGGGAGCCCUCCUAACACUCUGGAAAUCCUACCAUGCAGGGAAGUUUUGGCAUAAAUUAAGGUAGGUCCUGGAGAAGGCAAUGGCAACCCACUCCAGUACUCUUGCUUGGAAAAUCCCGUGGAUGGAGCAGCCUGGGAGGCUGCAGUCCAUGGGGUUGCGAAGAGUCAGACACGACUGAGCAACUUCACUUUCACUUUUCACUUUCAUGCAUUGGAGAAGGAAAUGGCAACCCAUUCCAGUAUUCUUGCCUGGAGAAUCCCAGGGACAGAGGAGCCUAGUGGGCUGCUGUCUAUGGGGUCGAACAGAGUCGGACACGACUGAAGCAACUUAGCAGCAGCAGCAGCAGCAAGUAAAAUAUAAUAUAGCAUAUUAAAAGCAGAGACAUUACUUUGCCAACAAAGGUCCAUCUAGUCAAGACUAUGGUUUUUCCAGUGGUCAUGUAUGGAUGUGAGAGUUGGACUGUGAAGAAAGCUGAGCGCUGAAGAAUUGAUGCUUUUGAACUGUGGUGUUGGAGAAGACUCUUGAGAGUCCCUUGGACUGCAAGGAGAUCCAACUAGUCCUUUCUGAAGGAGAUCAGCCCUGGGAUUUCUUUGGAAGGAAUGAUGCUAAAGCUGAAACUCCAGUACUUUGGCCACCUCAUGCGAAGAGUUGACUCAUUGGAAAAAACUCUGUGCUCGGAGGGAUUGGGUAAAGGAGGAGAAGGGGACGGCAGAGGAUGAGAUGGCUGGAUGGCAUCACUGACUCAAUGGACAUGAGUCUGAGUGAACUCCAGGAGUUGGUGAUGGACAGGGAGGCCUGGCGUGCUGCGAUUCAUGGGGUCACAAAGAGUCGGACACGACUGAGCGACUGAACUGAACUGAAUAUAUAAUAUGCAAUCCAUUCAUUUUCUGAUCUACUGUAAUUUUUUUGUGAUUGCAUUCUCAUCUUAACAUGAAUAUUGUCAAAAAGUUGUAAAGUUUUUUCCAAGUUAUAGCUUCUAAUUAUUUUCCAUGAGUUAAAGCUGAAAAUUUUGAUAUAUACAUUUUUACAUUACAUGUUUCAUUUAUCAAAUGAGAUGAUUCAUAUAAAUGGCUGUAUUGAACACAGUAUUUUUAUAAUAUUGAAGCUAUAUAUCUUGAAAAUUUGGAGUUGUAUUUGACAACAAGGGUGAAAUGGUGACUUUUUCAUAAAAAUAAAACAAUUCCAUGAUUU
ensembl:lncRNA